rfam:Haemonchus placei strain MHpl1 genome assembly, scaffold: HPLM_scaffold0002546
GGCCCAAACUUGAAGUAGAGUAGAUUGGUAGUAUCAUCUGACCCUACUAUACUACUCUACUUCGAGUUUGGGCCA